GCGAAACCAACCUGCAAUGCCUGUAACAAAGCUCUAGUUGUCUGGUGUAAGGUGAUUUAUAAGUGCAUGGCAAGCAAACAAAAGCAUUUUACCCCGUUGCAUAUUCAGAUAAUAUGGAUUAAAAAAAAAAAGUUUGGAUGAAAUAAAAUCCUGUAGUAGAGCCUGUAAAGUCCCUUGGCAACUGCCAACUUUUGAAGUGUUUCACUUUAAUUUGCACUGAUGGUAAUGAACAUUUAAAUACUUCAGGGUUUUAUUUAUUUAUUUAUUUCAGUCUGACCCACUAGUAUGCUUUUUAAGGUCUUAUGCUCUGGGGUAAAAUGUUGUUUUUUGCCUGCUCUUGGAGCACAUGUUCCUCUUUCCUCACUUGAAAGUGGCCCUGGGACAGAGCCUGCUUGCAAUGUGGUGUAUUUUUUUCCCACAGAUGAUGGACUGCUGUUAUUCCAGACAUCUCUCAAAUGUUCAGUGGGAUGAUGAGACAAGCACCUGUUUGUUUGCACAGUCAGUAUAACCUGUACCGUUUUUGCAGAUGGUGCCCUUGCACAGUUCUUUGAGGAGGUGGUGGUGGUUCAUCAUUUGGACACAUCAGGUGUGAACUAUUCAGUGGCCAUCACCAACUGUAAAAUGCCAUAAAUGGAACAAUAUCUUGAGAGGAGCUGCACAGAACCCUUCAGAUUAACCAACUGGCACUACAAUGCCUAAUGUGCAUUCAGGCAUCCAGGAAAAAUAAAACACGUGGCUCUGGCAGCCCACAAGUGAUGCUACUAAUGAUGGAAGAGAAAAACCUUUCCAAGGUCAAGUUAUCAAACAUCUGAACUCUGGGAAGCAUUUGUCAUGGCCUGGGAAUUGAUCUGAAACCUGAUCCAUCUUGGAGAAUAAAUCACCACAGAAAGCAUGCAUUAGAAUCUCUCUCACUGAAAUUCCCUAUGGAGCUGAUUUCCUGGAAGCAGACUUAGGUGUAGGAUUGCUAAUGGGACUAGCAGGCUGGAAGGAGGGCUGAAAAACAGUCACAAGCAAUGAAAACAUCAGUGCUUACAGAGGGAGGGACCAAAGCUCCUUCUUUCAGCUCAGUGGAAAGCUGGAUUACUCUUCAGAGCCCUUGUGAAAGCAGUCAAGUCCUUUACCCAGCACACUCUCCAUGCCAAGGUAGGUCCAAAUCCACAGCAGUUUUCAGGAGUGGGUGCUCAGUUUGACCAAUAACCAGAGCAAUGUGACAGCUCCUAGCAAUGCAUUAUAAACAGCACCAGAAAGAGCAAUGAAAACAUCAGUGCUUAGAGAGGGAGGGACCAGAGCUCCUUCUUUCAGCUCAGUGGAAAGCUGGAUUACUCUUCAGGUGAGUGAUUAUAAAUGGUAAGCACGUGGAGCUCAUUUUGAAAGUUUUAGUGCUAGUACUUGACAUUGCAUAGCUUGUAAUAAACAAGAGAUGAUCUCUGAGUUUUAUUACACCAGAGCAGCUUUAAAAUCUUCAAAUCAUACACAGCUUUAUCCAACUUUCUCCCUUUUUCAGUAGCUGUUAUGGCUCAGCCAUUCUUCUUUUCCUUGCUCUUGCCUGCUCAGAUAAGCAAUGAUCUUGUCUGAUCUUUGGAUAAAGCAUCAAACAGGCCAAAAUCCUCCGGGCUUUGAAACAAGAGGAGCACUGAAAGAGGAAGAUUCCAGCCAGGCCUUUGUCUGUUGGCUGAUUGGUCUGGUUUUGGAGUUGACAUUUGCAAGCACGAAGGCAUCAGGGAAAGCAACAAUGGCAUUUUGAGGACUGUGCUGCAAAAAUGACCAAUUGGAAUCUCUCCUGUUUCCACCUGUUCUCCCCCUCUGCCGCCUUCUCAGUUCCAGCCUCUGUCAUCGCUGCAGCAAUCACUGAGGUUGCAGGGAGGUGAAUUAUUGCUUUAGUGCUGUUGGAGUACAUAAUGUUGCAGUUCAUUGGGAUUUUUAAGUUCUUUUUUUUUUUUUUUUCCCCUUACUUAUUUUGAGAAUGCUUUGGCUUUUCUUUGAGGAGAGAACUUGACCUUUUAGGUGCCAUAUCUUAAUGUGCUAAACUCCUACAGAACGAUCAGAAAAAUCCCAAUUUAACUUAGACUUGAGACUCUUUUAAUCCACUGUUUGGUAAGAUUGCUUAGGUUACCACGGCACACCAGAGCAUCACAAAGAAAAGGGACACUUCUAAACCAUAACAUACAUGCACACACACAUAUAUAUAAAUGAAAUUGUAAAGUCUCUGAGAACUUCUGCUGAGGCAGUAGGGGGGAAAUGUUAUUUUUAUAAUAAGAUUAUGUUUUGCAGUGAAUUUCUGGCUAUUCUGAGGUGAUAAUCAGUGCUGAGUAGGUUUCUUUGCCGUAAAAGGAUCCAGUCUAAAGAGACUCUUGAGUGGCAGCCUAGAUAUGAGAAAUGCUAUUUGAAUUACAUACAGUUUAUAUUCCUUCCCAUUUUUAUAGUAUUUUCCAGAGGCUCUUCUUUAGUUUUAGGCCUUCUCUAUGAAAGCACAUGCAAUAAAACUGUUGCUGCUGCCAGCUUGUAUGCCUGAAAGGUCAACUUUUUUUUUUUUGUUCUAACUUUAUCAGUUUCUUUAAUAAAAGAUAUUAACUCUGUUCACAGCCUUGUCUCGCAGAGAGGAGAGAAAUAUCCCCUGCUCCAAAGAAAAUAUCACUUCUGUUUAAUGAUUAAAACAAAUCAGUGGGAGAGAAGAUAAAAGACAGCUACAGGAAAAUUCUGGUUCAGUAUUUAAAUUACACUUAUUUCUAUGUGUGAAUAAUAACCCAACUAUGACUGUAGAAUGAAGAAGAGCCAAGUCUGUGCAGUGUUCAGAGUUCACCAUCAUGCUGUACUCUGCACGGUCACUGACUGAUUAUUCUAAGAUGUUGUGCUGGUUUAAAGGCAAACCAGCAGGGGAAAUGAACCCAACUCAAAGGAGAGAUUAUAAGUCA